UACAGAGGUCUCAAGCGUUGUUCGGAUUCAUUGGGCGUAAAGGGUGCGUAGGCGGUCUGCUAAGUUUGGUGUGAAAUCCCGGGGCUCAACCCUGGAAUUGCAUUGAAUACUGGUGGACUAGAGUACUGGAGAGGAAACUGGAAUUUACGGUGUAGCAGUGAAAUGCGUAGAGAUCGUAAGGAAGACCAGUGGCGAAGGCGAGUUUCUGGACAGUAACUGACGCUGAGGCACGAAGGCCAGGGGAGCAAACGGG
rnacentral:rRNA from 1 species